GUGCCAGCAGCCGCGGUAAUACGAACCGUGCAAACGUUGUUCGGAAUCACUGGGCUUAAAGGGCGCGUAGGCGGUCGAUCAAGUCCGGGGUGAAAUCUUUCGGCUUAACCGGAAAAGUGCCUUGGAUACUGAUCGGCUGGAGGGAGAUAGGGGCAGCUGGAACUUCCAGUGGAGCGGUGAAAUGCGUUGAUAUUGGAAGGAACGCCGGUGGCGAAAGCGAGCUGCUGGAUCUCUUCUGACGCUGAGGCGCGAAAGCUAGGGGAGCGAACGGGAUUAGAUACCCCGGUAGUCC
rnacentral:rRNA from 1 species